GACGAACGCUGGCGGCACGCUUAACACAUGCAAGUCGAACGGAGUUGAGGAGGUGCUUGCACCAUCUCAACUUAGUGGCGGACGGGUGAGUAACACGUGAGCAACCUGCCUUUGAGAGUGGAAUAGCUUCUGGAAACGGAUGGUAAUACCGCAUGAAAUUAUCUGACCGCAUGAUCGGAUAAUCAAAGAUUUAUCGCUCAAAGAUGGGCUCGCGUCUGAUUAGAUAGUUGGUGGGGUAACGGCCUACCAAGUCGACGAUCAGUAGCCGGACUGAGAGGUUGAACGGCCACAUUGGGACUGAGACACGGCCCAGACUCCUACGGGAGGCAGCAGUGGGGAAUAUUGCACAAUGGGCGGAAGCCUGAUGCAGCGAUGCCGCGUGGAGGAAGAAGGUUUUCGGAUUGUAAACUCCUGAUCUGAGGGACGAUAAUGACGGAC
rnacentral:rRNA from 1 species